CGAAAGUGAGUUUUAAGUCUGCCUCCGAAGCCUAAACUUUGGCUUCCGAAAGCGAGGGACAGAGACGAAAGUCCCACAUGUUCGGCCGCCGAACUUUGACUUUAGACCGCCGAAAGUUCAUUUUUAAAGGAUGAUGUUCUUCACCUCAAAUGGUUCGGCCGCUGAACUUUAGCCUUAGGCCGCCGAAUCUGAGUUUUUCUGAGCACGAUAUAACGGUUAUUUCUGAACAUAAACGGCUCUAUUUGCAUUUAAUGCACCUCCAACGGCCAUAUUUAUGACUGAACUAUAAAUACAAUGAGUUUUUGAUAUGAAAAGGUUACAACAACCAUCUAAGCAAAUACUUAUUGAGAUUAAAGCAUUUUUCACUCUCUCUCUCUCAAAAC
rnacentral:lncRNA from 1 species